AGAAACUUGUAAACUACCGUUGGAUCGAAAAAUGGACGUCCGAGAUUCUUCCACGUCAUCACGAGUAAUAAUUUUACUCGCGGUAAAAUUUUUACUUAUGAGUAAAUCCGUGAGUAAAAUUUUUACUCAUGAUGACAUGGACGAAUCUCGGACGUCCAUUUUUCGAUCCAACGGUAGUUUUCAAAUUUCC
rnacentral:pre_miRNA from 1 species